rnacentral:rRNA from 1 species
CCUACGGGGGGCUGCAGUGGGGAAUAUUGGACAAUGGGGGAAACCCUGAUCCAGCAAUGCCGCGUGUGUGAAGAAGGCCUGCGGGUUGUAACGCACUUUCGGUUGGGAAGAAAAGUUUGGCGCCAAUACCGCCGAACCUUGACGUUACUGACAGAAGAAGCACCGGCUAACUCUGUGCCAGCAGCCGCGGUAAUACAGAGGGUGCAAGUGUUAAUCGAAAUCACUGGGCGUGAAGCGUGCGUCGGUUGUCAAAUCCCCGGGCUUAACCUGGGAACUGCAUUCGAUACUACAUGGCUAGAGUAUGGUAGAGGGAAGUGGAAUUGCCGGUGUAGCGGCGAAAUGCGUAGAUAUCGGAAGGAACACCAAUGGCGAAGGCAGCUUCCUGGACUAAUACUGACACUGAGGCACGAAAGCGUGGGUAGCAAACAGGAUUAGAUACCCCUGUAGUC